rnacentral:rRNA from 1 species
GUGUCAGCAGCCGCGGUAAUACGUAGGGCGCGAGCGUUGUCCGGAAUUAUUGGGCGUAAAGAGCUCGUAGGCGGCUGGUCGCGUCUGUCGUGAAAUCCUCUGGCUUAACUGGGGGCUUGCGGUGGGUACGGGCCGGCUUGAGUGCGGUAGGGGAGACUGGAACUCCUGGUGUAGCGGUGGAAUGCGCAGAUAUCAGGAAGAACACCGGUGGCGAAGGCGGGUCUCUGGGCCGUUACUGACGCUGAGGAGCGAAAGCGUGGGGAGCGAACAGGAUUAGAUACCCUGGUAGUCCACGCCGUAAACGUUGGGCACUAGGUGUGGGGGGCCUUUUCCGGGUCUUCCGCGCCGUAGCUAACGCAUUAAGUGCCCCGCCUGGGGAGUACGGCCGCAAGGCUAAAACUUAAAGGAAUUGACGGGG